GGUCCGGUAGUUCAGUUGGUUAGAAUGCCAGCCUGUCACGCUGGAGGUCAGGGGUUCGAGCCCCC
rnacentral:tRNA from 1 species